rnacentral:sRNA from 21 species
CCCACCACUCACGUGGUGGGCUAUCUCGUUCCGAGCCUGUGGCACU